rnacentral:rRNA from 1 species
AUGAGCUCAAAAACAAAAGGCAUAAACGAGCCAAGUCCAGCUACUACAGAAAGGCGCCAGCACAUGCACAACUACAAUACAAAAACUAAUUGCAAGACUCCAGCUACUAUAUGUUUCCCGGCUGAAAUACAAAGCAAAACAACCAGAUCAAGCUCCUACUUAAGCUGCUCCGCUACAGCAUGGGAAAUUAACCUUCAUGGGUAUCUGAAAAUGCUUCUAACUUUUCUGCCUAACAGGGACCCCAAGACAAACUUGCACUGCUCCGUUGAGCCAUGGCAUCUGCUUGGGUUUCAGGGGAUAAGCAAUGUGAGAUUGCUUGUGCUGCAUGAACAACCUGAAAAGGAGAUCCUGCUUUCCUGCAAAGAGAUCAUUGGACUUCGAAAUACACCACAUAAAAGUUAA